ACGGCUGAGGAUCACGUGGGAACAUGCCUCGUGGUGGGGGACAACAGCGCGAAAGCGCUGCUAAUCCCGCAUACGCUCGCGCAAGCGAGGAAAGCGGUAACGCGCCGCGAGAGUGGCCCGCGGCCCAUCAGGUCGUCGGUGGGGUAACGGCCUACCGAGCCGAUGACGGGUAGCUGGUCUGUGAGGACAGACAGCCAGACUGGGACUGAGACACGGCCCAGACUCCUACGGGAGGCAGCAGCAAGGAAUUUUCGUCAAUGGGCGCAAGCCUGAACGAGCAACGCCGCGUGGAGGAUGACGGCCUUCGGGUUGUAAACUCCUUUUGGGGGGGACGAUAAUGACGGUACCCCUUGAAUAAGGCUCGGCUAACUCUGUGCCAGCAGCCGCGGUAAUACAGAGGAGCCAAGCGUUGUCCGGAUUGACUGGGCGUAAAGCGCACGCAGGCGGUUGUGCGCGUGGGGUGUGAAAUCUGGCCGCUUAACGGCCAGGCGCCAUCCCAUACGGCACAACUGGAGGGCUGCAGAGGUCGAUGGAAUUGCCGGUGUAGUGGUGAAAUGCGUAGA
rnacentral:rRNA from 1 species